rnacentral:rRNA from 1 species
AUGGGGUUCGUGGAUCCGGCGGCGCCGCUGCUCGCCACGUGCGGCGGCGACACGGUGAAGCUCUUCGACGUCACGGUGGAGUCCGGCGACCCCUGCGUCCUCGCCUACUCCCCCGCUCCCGGCCACCCCGUCAACGCCGUCAAGUGGAACCACACCAAUCUAAUCGUAGCAAGUGCUGGGGAUGAUAAAAAGAUCUCAUUGUGGCAUAAAAAGGGUCAAAAUGUAGGACAGCUACCGACAUCAACUGUUGAUCGUGGGGAUGACAUUGAGGAAUCCAUAUAUUCCAUCAGUUUUAGCAACAAAGGUUCUCGAUAUCUUUGUUCUGGUGGGAGUGGCCAUAUUGUUAGGAUAUGGGAUUUGCAGCGGAAGAGAUGUAUCAAAUGGCUAAGUGGUCACACUGACACCAUUACUGGUGUAAUGUAUAACUGCAAAGAUGAACAUUUGGCAUCAAUAAGCAUGAAGGGCGACCUUAUUCUUCACAAUCUUGCUUCUGGAGCACGUGCUGCUGAACUUAGUGAUCCAAAUGGACAGGUUUUGAGAGUGCUCGAUUAUUCACAUAAUAGUAGGCAUAUAUUGGCGACAGCAGGCGAUGAUGGUUCUGUGCAUCUUUGGGAUACAACCGCGAGGACUCCAAAGGUCUCAUGGCUAAAGCAACAUUCUGCACCCACAAGUGGUGUUUGUAUCUCACCCUCCAGUGACAAGAUAAUUGCUACAGUUGGCCUCGAUAAGAAGCUAUACACACUUGAUUCUGCAUCAAGAAGAGCGACACACACUAUUCCUCAUGAUGCCCCUUUCUCAUCAUUGGCAUAUAAUGAUGAUGGCACAAUAUUGGCAGCUGGCACAAACAGUGGGCGUGUGGUAUUCUAUGAUGUUCGGGGCAAACCCCAGCCAUUGACAAUUCUUCGUGCGUACAAUAGCUCAGAGGCUGUGACAAGUUUAUGCUGGCAACGGUCAAAACCUGUCAUUGUUAGCGAGAACAGUUCCUCAGAAGUUGCCCUUCUGGGGGGAACUAGUGAAGAUUCUAUUCUUAUGCCAGAUCCUUUGCCUUCAGCAACACCUUCAACUUUUCCAUCUGGAGCAGGCAUUACGAGUCUUCGCUCUUCUUUGACAGGGAACACAAGUGGAUUUCUUUCCACUUCAAAGUCUUCUACUGCAGAGGAAACUCCAUAUAGGGCCCGUCCAUUGUCUGGUGGGCCAUUAUCAAAGCUACAGGCUCCUCGUGGCAACUUCAGUAUAAAGGAUGAUAUGGAUGUAUUUUCUCCACUUGUUGAUGUCCAGCCUUUCACACCAUCCAGCAACAGCUGGUGGGAUGAGCAGGGGAGUGAUGAAACAAAAAAAGAUGAUAAAUCUGGAGAUAAGAAGUUAUUAGCAACUAGGAAGUUCCAGUAUAUGGAAGGGAACAGUGAGCCACAUCCAAUCUCGGACUGGAGGUCUAAUUCCGUUUCAAGACAGGAUGGCGCCUCAUCUGCGAGUAGCUCACCCGUGCCAUCAUGGAAGAGUGAACCAUCUAUCUCCCCACCAGAAUCAUCAACUGGAAAUGCAUUGCCCGACAGGCUGACACAUCGUCAACAAAUCUCACGCUUUGGGCAAUCAGCCUUUCAGACUGGCAGUUUGGCGUUUGCAGGUUUACAGGAUUCAGCUUCAUCCACCAGUCUCUCAUUGAAAGGUUCUCUGACAAGUAACAUUUUAAUGAACUUACAAAACAAGGGCAUCUUGAGCAAUACGCAGUCUUCCCUCGAGACAUCAUCUGCCAGCCUACAGACUUCAGUUUCCUCAUCCUUCAUGUCCAAGACUCUGCCAUCGGUGAAUUCUGAUUUACCAGGAGCAGCACCUUCCAAAUCCGCAUGGAAACCGUCAACUUUGACUGAUAGAUUGAGCACAUCCUCUGUUUUUAGUGAAGGAUUAGCUUCAGCAUUUGGUUCACCAAAAUCAAAGAAGACUGGAGCAGAAACAAAAGAUGAACUGCUUACUAGUCUAUUAUCAAGACAGGAGGCACCAAUGACCUCUUCGUCUGGAAGCCUUCUAGCAAGCAACGGGGUAGUGCCACCACAAUUGCCAACCUCAGGUUCGUCAGCUGAUCAACAGGGAGCUUCUUCGUUCUCCCUUCAGUAUGUUCAGCGCAUGCUCGAGGAAUCUCUAGGAUCGGUUCACAAGUCUAUACAUGAGGAUGUGAGAAAUCUCCACAUUGAACUUCUAAGACAGUUUCACAUGCAGGAGAUGGAAACGUCUGGCGUUAUGAACUUGGUCCUGGAGAAGCUGGAAGGCCUGACCAAGGAAGUGCAGCAACUGAGAAGGGAAAACCAGCAGCUCCGACAUCAGCUUCUCUGA